rnacentral:rRNA from 1 species
CCUACGGGAGGCAGCAGUAGGGAAUUUUCGGCAAUGGGGGGAACCCUGACCGAGCAACGCCGCGUGAAGGAUGAAGGAAUUCGUUCUGUAAACUUCUGUUAUAAAGGAAGAAAGACGGAUGGAGGAAAUGACAUCCGAGUGACGGUACUUUAUGAGAAAGCCACGGCUAACUACGUGCAAGCAGCCGCGGUAAUACGUAGGUGGCAAGCGUUAUCCGGAAUUAUUGGGCGAAAAGAGGGAGCAGGCGGAAGCAAAGGACUGUGGGAAAAGACUGAAGCUAAACUUCAGUAAGCCAUAGAAACCGGGCAUCUAGAGUACAGGAGAGGGUCGUGGAAUUCCAUGUGUAGCGGUGAAAUGCGUAGAUAUAUAGAGGAACACCAGUGGCGAAGGCGACGUUCUAGCCUGCAACUGACGCUCAGUCCCGAAAGCGUGGGGAGCAAAUAGGAUUAGAUACCCCUGUAGUC